CUCUCUCUCUCUCUCUUCCUCUUCCUCUCCGCCACUCCUCUCCCCUCCCUUGCGGUCGCCAACAACCGGAACACCGAUUCACCUCGUUGUUGGUCACUGUCGCCUGAGAUCCAUCACCCAAGGAAGCUCGAUCGGUGGCUCCUCACUCGCAGCUCCUCGAAUUGCAAGUACAAGCGAAAUAGAGGCUACUAGACUUCGCCUGCCCUCGAUCGCCUUCUCUCUUAUUCUUCUCUUGGAUGCCACCACCACUUACAUGCUAGAUUGCAAUGGAUGAAAAGGAAUCCAUCUUGAGUAGUGUACCAGCUGAUUUUAGGGAAAAGGGUUCGAAGUUGCAUGCAUCUCUUAUAGAUGGGAAGGUACUAUGGAAGAAAGAGAAUUAGCACCUUUAGAUGAAAAAGGCCAAUAGCUUGAAUGUUAAAUCCACUUUGAUUUCCUGAACACAGAGAAACUCACUUCAUUAUCCAGCUUUAGUUUUUUAUUUUAGAUAAGUAGUUCCUUGAAUAAUUUCAGUUACAUCCAUGGUGUUUGCAACAUAAGGAUUUGGGGAUAAAUUGUUGAUGACACUACCAAAAUUCAAAGUGAUGAGAAAUGAAUCUUUGUUGUACUUUAGGGAGCCACGAUAUGGGAAAGAGGCUUAAUGGACCGACCUUGAUUUGCCAUGUAAUUAAGGUCAUGUAAUUCAAGUCCUUAAAGCAUAUAGCUUAUCAUUUUUAUUUUAUUUUUUAUUUUUUUAACAGAUUGCUUUUGCGUGGGCUAUUGUGGAUAUUUAUUUUUGUGUACUAAAACAAUUUUGUUCUGUAUAUGGAAGACAUUUAUUUUUCUACAACCCUCUGCUUUGGAAAUCCAGUGUUUUUGUAUGUGAUAUUUAAUUUAGAUGGAUUAUACUUGGUUGGUGUGGAUUUAUAUGAUAUUUGGAAUAUGAUGUUACAAGUUAAAGUUUUUGGAUAGUUGAUAAUGAAAUGGGUAUUAUUGAUAA